rnacentral:rRNA from 1 species
AGAGUUUGAUUCUGGCUCAGGAUGAACGCUAGCGGCAGGCUUAAUACAUGCAAGUCGAGGGGCAGCAUGACUGUAGCAAUACAGUUGAUGGCGACCGGCAAACGGGUGCGGAACACGUACAGAACCUUCCUUCGAGCGGGGAAUAGCCCAGAGAAAUUUGGAUUAAUACCCCAUAGCAUAUUGGAGUGGCAUCACUUUAAUAUUAAAGAUUUAUCACUUGAAGAUGGCUGUGCGGCUGAUUAGGUAGUUGGCGGGGUAACGGCCCACCAAGCCUGCGAUCAGUAACUGGUGUGAGAGCACGACCAGUCACACGGGCACUGAGACACGGGCCCGACUCCUACGGGAGGCAGCAGUAAGGAAUAUUGGUCAAUGGACGAAAGUCUGAACCAGCCAUGCCGCGUGGAGGAUGAAGGUCCUCUGGAUUGUAAACUUCUUUUAUAUGGGACGAAAAAAGGCCUUUCUAGGUCGUCUGACGGUACCAUAUGAAUAAGCACCGGCUAACUCCGUGCCAGCAGCCGCGGUAAUACGGAGGGUGCAAGCGUUAUCCGGAUUCACUGGGUUUAAGGGGUGCGUAGGUGGGUUGGUAAGUCAGUGGUGAAAUCCCCGAGCUUAACUUGGGAACUGCCAUUGAUACUAUCAGUCUUGAAUACCGUGGAGGUCAGCGGAAUAUGUCAUGUAGCGGUGAAAUGCUUAGAUAUGACAUAGAACACCAAUUGCGAAGGCAGCUGGCUACACGAAUAUUGACACUGAGGCACGAAAGCGUGGGGAUCAAACAGGAUUAGAUACCCUGGUAGUCCACGCCCUAAACUAUGGAUACUCGACAUACGCGAUACACUGUGUGUGUCUG